AAUAAUAAAAAAAUGUUUGGAAUAGUGGACAGUACAAAGGGAAGUUCUAAAGAUUUAAUCAUAAUUUCCAAUGGGCUAUAUUAAAUUUCAUAGCUUGAAAAUACUAAAGACUACAUUUGCCUUUUCCCCUGUCAAGUUACCUGGAAGAAAUAUAGACGAUGUUAUACGUGUGACAUAACUCAUAAUGUUUCUAACACAUUCUGACUUAGGGAUAUAUGAGAAUGUCAGGCAACAUUCUAAAAUAAAGAUUGCUGAUUAAAAAACUACAAGUCAAGACAUUUUGAUAGUUUUCAAGCAAUUCACGGAGAUAGGAUUAAAAAAAUCAAACAUUGAGGAGAAUAAAAGUAGCCAUCUGAAGCCACAGAUAAUGCAAGCCUCAUUAGAAUAUUAAGCUUGUAUAGUGGAAGGGAUUUGCAUCUCUGUAGUCUCAGUGAUUGACCACCCAGGCAAUAUCAUCGGAGAUAAUGCUUUAAUACAGUAGUCAAAAUGGUGUGGCAAGACUUCACCCUUUCUGUGGCAAUGACAGGUCUGCUCAAACACAUGCUCAUGGCGCUCAGCACCGGCACUGGGAACAGACAUCCUUCAGUGCAGGGUUGCUUUGCUUUCAGAACUGGCUCAGACUUUAGAGACUGAGAAGCCUAUCUCCAUGCCACACUUACUAUUUCAUAAAUAUUUACUGGCAUCUAAUUGGUGAUCAUUUUUAUCAAGAAUCAACUUGAUAUUCCAUGCUUCCAUGGAGUAAUUUAUGAAAUAUUUGUGCUUAUCAUUUCAAUUAGUCAAUAUUACCUUUAGUUAUGGUGGUAAAUUUAAGCUACAUAAAUGUGAAUCUUAAAAAGGUUCUUAGAAAAAAAAUCAUGGCCCCACUUCAUACUUAAUCUUUGAACUAUCAAACUCUUCUAAUUAAUCCAAUUUCUGGUACUCCCUGUUUCAAAUCAAGAAUUUCAAAUUACUUAAGAUACUACAUUUGGUCUCUUACUAGUCUAUAGUUCUAAUGGAUAUGCUUGUUUUUUCUUUUUCCCUUUUCUCUAGAAAACCUUUAUUUUCUGCUAUCUCUUCUCAUAAUUUUCCUGAAAACAGGAGUUCAUAACAUUCUUGUAUUGGUUUUGACUAGAAUUAAAACAUUAACCCAACUGGUUAUUCAUAUUUUAAUAUAAAUUUAUAUUUUAAUUCAUAUCUUCACAUGAAUUAGUAAAAUGAUGAAAUAGAGAAUUUACUAAAGCAUCAAAGCUAUGCAAUAUAAUGGAAGGGACAGCUGCAUUCUGCAUUUUAUUUUUUUGUAUUUUACAUCAAUAAGCUGACCAGAGGCUGGCCACUAUGAUUGCAGAGUUUUAUAGCUGUUAUGCUUUUGUGCUUACAGUGUCUUAAAGUCCAGCUAAUGCCUAGAGGAAAUGUAAUUGUCUCAGUAGACUUGUGGCUUUUGAAAAUUCAAAAACUUCAGUAGAUGGAUUGCUUGGUAUGUUUAGACCAAUGCCUUUCCAGUAAUGUAAAAGUCUGUAUUUGAAGUUCACUUGAAAGACUAAAGAAAUGGUGAAUUUACUCUGCUGAUAUGGGCAAAUUGUUUGACUUAGGGUCAAACGGUAUCUAUGAAAAAUAAGUUUAUUUUAAAUUAAAUAUUGUUGAGUAGAAAGGGAGAAAGUACCAGAGUGCCAGUCAUAAAAGUGCUAAAAAGAAUCUGAGAGGGAAAAAAAAGAACACUGAAAUGAAUGGAGUACGGUGUGUGUGUGUGUGUGUGUGUGUGUGUGUGUGUGUGUGUGUGUGUGUGUGUGUAAGUACUUACUGAGAGAAGCAGCUCACUGGUUUACAAGUAGUGAAUAAAUGAGUGACUUUCUUCAGUCCCUGCAGUCUGAAGUUCAUCUUAGCCAUUUGUAAUAAAUGGAACAUAAAUUCCAACUGCAUCCUGGAGACUCCUCAAAGCGACUACAUGUUUGCAUUAACAGAUUGUGAUCAUUGGCUGAGGAAUGAGAAAAGGAGGGAAGUACAUUGAGUUUUGAUCUUUAUAAGAGGCAUCAGUGCCCUAAUGGAAUGGCAGAAAAGAUCCCUCCUCUCUGGUAAGAUAUUUCCUAUUUCUCAUCUUAAAACAAAGGGGACCACUAUUCAUUUUUCACUGUAGGAAUGUAUUUUUAACUUAAGAACUGCUUAAAAUGGAAUAAUCAUAACGGGUGAUAAUUAACGGUUAUGUGGUCUCCUAAUUCACAUUCUUUACUGUACAUUAUUAGAUCUCUUUCUAAAAGUGUGGCUAAGCAUACACAUUAUCCAUUAUAACAUUUAAGCAGAGAUUUUCUAAUAUACCUACCUCUUUGUGGUGGGCUUAAAAUCUCUACUGCAGGGGUUGGGGAUUUAGCUCAG
rnacentral:sRNA from 1 species